rnacentral:pre_miRNA from 1 species
GUGAAAGAGGUUUGGAUUGAAAUAAGGGUCUUUAUGAUUCGAUUACAUUUCAUUUCUAACCUCUUUGCAAUU